rnacentral:lncRNA from 1 species
CAGAAGAAGUCAUCUCUUGGCUCGGGUUUAAAGGGUGCCAAUGAGGCACAAAGCCAGGAGAGGAGACUCAAGAAGAAUUAUAGGAGGGAAUCACUGGCUUCUUCUUCUUCAGAACUCUCGAUGGAUUCCCACUCUUACGGAAGCUUCACCACAUAUGAGAAGGUCGCCUGCAAGCACGUAAGUAUCUAAUUGACCUUUACCAGUAUGACAUCUAUAUGUAAACAUGAAAGAGUUAAUCUCACAUUUUCGGUGCUUGUCUUUGAUUGAAGCGAAAUGGAGAUGAGGAGGUGCUUAUCACUCCAAUAAGGCGUUCGAGCAGAUUGCUGAAGCAAGUCACUUCUCCAUGACUAGAGGAGAAAGCAUUUCUCCCCCUGACUCUCGGUUGCUCCUGAUUC